AAGCGACGAAGAAGAGAGA
rnacentral:sRNA from 1 species